AACAGGAUGUCCAUGGGCGUCUGCGAGGGCUGCGUGGGUGGCAGAGCUGCAUGGAGCGGGUGGGCAGGCCUCUGAAGUGGGAAGGGACCCGGAGAGUGAGACGCGGAGUCUGGGGCGAGACAACCCAGGUUCCCUCGGUCCCAGGCCCUUUCCUCUGACAGCCUGGAACCUGAUUCUGUGCGUAGCACCAGCCGGUUGGUUCAUUUCUAUGGGAAGAGAAAACACUCGGACUAAAGCGCUGCCAGAACGCAGCUGUACAUCUGCUGUUAUGAUGUCUGCCUUGGAAAUAGCCCGGAGCCCUGGUUCCCGCGUGACUUGGGGCGUCCGGGGGUUAUAUCAGAGCUGACUCUCCCUGGAGGGCGGGCCUCACACAGCCUGGAGGCCUUGAUCAGCGGACGCUGGGAGGAGGCCCUACCGGGCCUUGUGGGCAGUUAGGCGUUCAUUUCGUGGACAGAUCUCUCUUUGGCCAGAUAUGUUUCACAUUGUUUGAGAGCUUUGUCCCUGGGGCAGCUCAGUGUACAAGGAGCUUUGGUUGGUGAACUGGGCGCUGGACCAGGUUAUCUCUGUGCCUUUGAGCUCUGCGUGGCCCCAACUCUAUAGCUCAUGUGCCUCUGAGGGCCAUACCCGAGGUUGCUUCUUGCCCUAUGACACCGGCCCAGGAUUGAUCUCGGUUCUCCGCUGAGGAGCUAAGGAGCGCUGGUCCCCACCGUCACCUGUACCCCCUUCCUGGCACUUGUGGGGGCAUUUCCAGGGACAGAGAAGGGAGAGGAGGCUGCACUUUUUCAGGGUUCUCUUAUGAGAACCAAGAAUUUAGAGAUUACAGUAUCUUUUCUUCUCUAUCCUUCAAUGACAACUUGGUAUAAUUUUUUAAAAUCAUGUGAUGGAAGUAUUUUGUCUGCCCUCGACAUAAACUAAUUGAAGACACAGUGUCAGUGUUUAGGCUGCUGGGGGAGGCGCCACAGACUGUGUGUCACAGCUCACCUGUGUGUGAGAAUGGAAGAGACACCUGGUAAGGUCCCUGAGGGGCCAUGGUCCUAGUUCAGGUGUGAAAGUUAACAAGGAGAGAAGAGGUCAUUGUUUGUUUUGGACCUGGAGGGAUCCUGACCUAAGUUCCUUCUUAUAAUUUAUUGAAGAUUAAUUGCCACUAGCAUAAGCUCCCAGUGGAUAUAAAUGGGUAGUCAACAUUUAAGUACAGAAAGGAUUUACUUGUGUUUUUCAUAGAUUCUCUUCUUGGCAAUGAGAUGAGAUGCAGGCACUGUGGGUAUCUUGGUGUGGAGGGUGCAAGUUUUAGGGGCUCAGGUGGUCCCAGAGGGAUAUGGCCAGGUGCACAGAGCCCUGACCUGGGGCCUGGGAGGCCUGUCUUCUGUCAGUCACCACCCUGCACUUAGGGCAUCCAUUGUCCAUAAAAGGAAGGCAGAGGGAGGGUCUCCGAUUCUGCACGUUGUGCUCUGUAUAGUCAGGUAUCUGUGUAUCCGGGUUUCCUGAUUGGAACCCAGAAAAGGAAAAGAAAGCAGCACUAUCUGUUGGAAAUGUAACAUGUACGUUUAUAAGUAGGUCCCUCCUGUGCUUUAGGCACAGAUGGCAGGUGGACUGGAGGGUAAAUGUGCUGAGAACAAGCAAUGCACAGACAAACCCCAACAAAACUCGACAACAGGAACAUAAAAGACUCAGCUCCGGUUCCUCCAAACCUAGACCCAUCCAGGCCCAGGGCUCCAACGUCAAAGCAGCAUCCUGAGCAGAAUUGGGGUGCAGCCCAUGAAGGAACCUUCCCAAGGCCCUGAGGUUAGGGUUGAGCCUAGGAAAGUGUAAGAAGUGUGGUCAGCCUGACAUGGGAGCCGUUGAUGUCAAGGCAGAGAGAACAGACAGGAACUGCAGAGAGUGAAGUUAUGCAGAACAGAGGAACAAAGAGCUCCACUGAAGAAGCUUCUGGAACUCCCGAAGGUUGGAGAUGCUGCGGAGAAGAUGGGGCCGUGGAACUUAGAAAUGGAGAAUUAGCCGAGUGACACACCGUAACCCCCUAGAGAUGCUUCCUUGUUUGAGGUGGACCCACCCUGGCCUCCAGAGGAAAUAUUUUCAGGGCAUCUUUUUGACUGGUUUGCUAAGAGGCACUGUGAUGCUUUUUAAUAAUGUCUACAUUAAUUUAAAAAGGCAAAGGCGUGAAAACCAAGCAUGCCAUGGUAUCGACUGCUUUCAGUCCUCUGAAUCAAAGUUCUGGAACCCCAAGACGGUGUUCUCUAUCCCUGGGGCUCGCACCUGCAUGCACACUUCUCAGCAUCACGCACUGUGCACCCGGCACUGGUGGCUGCUUUAAUGACUCAGCACGUUUCCAGUCACUGGAGGGCUCCUCUGUCACUCCACUUACACCAGUCCCCCUGGGUGGCAAACAAGCGCAAAUACCAUGAAAAGAUGAGUGGGAGCUGAAAUACUGCUGAAGUCCUUUUCUUGUACGGGGACCAUUUUGGAGAGGCAGGUCCUGUCAUCAGCGUUCCGGCUCCUAGCUGUGCGGAAUCUCCAGGAAGAAGCCGGGGUCUGGGCUCUGCAGCUCAGGCCCCGCCCUGCCGUGUGUCAUCCGUGCCCAGAAGUGGCACCAGUUCAGCUCUGUGCAAAGGGCAUGUUUGCCAGGAGGGGCAGCCUCCGGGUGGCUGGGAGUCCAGGGUCAGAUCCUUGUUGAUACGGAGUUGGUGUGACCAGAUGCUGAGCUGGCUCACAGCAUCCAGAGUAAAGAAAACAGCCUUCAGAUUCAGAACCUUAUGAGAGAAACUGAGUCCAUGACGACAAGUCUUCCAAAGCUUUCGGUGUUUUAUCAAAUGUCCCUCUUCAAGAACAACAUUAUUGGAGAGAAGAAUGUGGAGGGGAGAGAAAUGAUUUUUUCAAUGGUAAAAUAGUUCAAUGUAAAAUAGUUCUAACCAGUUCACAUUGGUAUAUUGCGUAUUCAUUUAGUAUGAUAUUCUAUUUUUGUAACUGUUUUACUAGAAGAGUAGGUCUUUGACUUAAAUAUUUAUUUUUACACAGUUA